rnacentral:pre_miRNA from 1 species
AAUGUAGUGGAAACAUAUCUGCACAAAGCAAAUUACUAAAAUAAGUGUUUGGAAGUAUUUCCGUUAUAUU